rnacentral:lncRNA from 1 species
UUUUCUUGAAUGGACAAUAAUGCGUUUUGUGUCCAAGUUUGCAACAAAAGUUGUAUUUGCUUUGGUGUUGAACAUGUAAGAUGGGGCCUUUUAUGAAGGUGGUUGGAUUUUGGUGAGGACUUCUCACAAAUCCGAUUCCACUUCUUUUGGGAACGUGACCCUUGUUUGCAAGGAUCAUGUUCAGUGACUUGCUACCAACCUCGAAUUUCUUCAAGGUGUCCUUAAGUAGCAAGUUUUCCUUUUGGAGAGUUUCUAGAUCAUGGCAUUU